CGCAUGGGAAACUAACGUGUGGCCAGCCGCCAUCUAGACCGGGAUACCGGUGGGAAACUGGUGGUAAUACAGGAUAACAUCUUCUGAUCAGAUGGGGUGAUUCCGCUCUUGGAUAUGUCCGAAGACUAUUAGCUUGUUGGUGAGGUAACGGAUCACCUGGGUUGCCAUGGUUACCGGGGGUGAGAGCAUGGACCGAAUCACUGGGACUGAGACACUGCCCACACAUCUCCGAAUGGCUGCGGACGAGAAUCUUCGGAAAUGGGCGAAAUCCUGACCAACCUACUCCGCGUGCGGGAUGAAGGCCCUCAGGGUGUUAACCGCUGUCACCUUGUAGGAAAUGGAUGAAGGUUAUCCAUCCUGUUUGACCGAUUUUCGCAGGAAGGACGGGCUAAGUUCGUGCCAGCAGCCGCGGGCAAGCGAACCGUCCAAACGUUGUUCGGUAUCACUGGGCUUAAAGCGUGCGUAGGCGGAUUUGAUAAGUGAGAUGUGAAAAUUCCAGACCUCAACCCGUGGAAUUGCGUUUCCUGACCCCCAAGCUCGAGGAAGAUAAGUGGUGAUGGGAACUUUAUGGUGGAGCGGUGAAAUGCGGGAGAUAUCAUAGGGAACACCGGUCUCUAGAGCGCAUCUGUGGAUCUUUUCUGACGCUGAGGCACGAAAGCUAGGGUAGAUACCCGGAUUAGAUACCCCGG
rnacentral:rRNA from 1 species